AGAAAAAAAAAAAAAGACAGGGAGGCGAGACCAUUUAGUUUCUUCACCAGAGUUGCAGAGAAUUUCAUUAUGUCAAUUGAACGGUUCCCAAUCGAUUCAUCAUAUUUUCUUAUGGUUCUCAAAAAAUCAACACUUCAUACAAUGAAUCGCUAAGACUCUAACAUAAACAUCUUAUCAAAAUAGGGAUCAGACGCAAUUGCAGUGGAAUACAGAAAAUUUCUGAUUGUAGGCAAUGUUAUUUCACCGAAGAUAAGACAAGUGUUCUUCAACCUCAUUGAACAUCGUCAACUCGAUAUAUCCAUGGAGAAAGAGUCUUCACCUACGGGAGCUUGCACCGUGAUUUUUAUUCUUCCAUAUUCUCCUCAAUUAUGUUGGGUGUUAGGCUUCUGAAAUAUCAUCAGUUAUCAUCACAAGAAGGAUACAACCAAGUACCCAAUAUGAAACCCUUGGUGGUGCUGAAUCUCACGAUGAAGUUUGGGAUGGUCAAUUAAAAAAUACUAAAUGCAUUAAGUUGAUUUUUCAGAAUUUUUGUUUUCAGGUUUGGACUUUUGAUAUGUCUUUAAUUUCAAUUGAGUCUCAAUAUCAGAAUUACUAGAUGCAUUUUAUUAGAGCUCAUCUAAUCCUCUGUUUGUGUGUAAAGUUAUGGAUUUCAUGGAAAUCUAUUGCAAAUUGAGUUUCUUUGUUAAGUUGAUCCACUAUUAGUUGCAUUUUUAAUUUCACAAUUACUGGAUGCAUUAGGUGCAUAUAUCGACUGAGGAACAAAAUGUUUACGUACAGAUGACAUUAUUGAUAUACCCAUCAUCAUUGCAUUCAUCUUUAAUCUGAAUUAAAGUACACCACUUUGGCACAUUGUUGAAUGAUAAUGUGGUUAAAUUUGUAUAGUUUUUGUUCAUAAUUGUUUAGUUUCUGACACAGUUAGGGACAAAAUCGCAUAUAAGUAAAAUUUAGUUGAAAUUAUGAACGACCAAAUAAGAUCAAAUUAUGAAAACUUUGAUGCAGUUUAUGAACUUGCGGACGCAUCUGAAACUGGGAAAAUAUAAAGGUAAUCUCAUUCUUUCCACUAGGCUUUUAUCCGAUUUUGAUUUGUCAUCGGGUAAUAUUUUUAGUGCAACCAAGAAAAUGGCGACGAGUAAAUCCAUACUCGAAAUUGCAUUAUGGACUCUGUACCUUCUCAUAUGUGUCUUUCAAAAGAUUUUUCAUGAACUUCUCACUUUGUGUCAAUUUUUACAUCUCUGCAGGAUCUAUCAGGUUGAAAUUGGAUUGAUUAAUCUUCUGGAGAAUGUAAUGGGUUCUUUGUACUAUUGGAUUGAUUAAUCUUCUGGAGAAUGUAAUGGGUUCUUUGUACUUUAUUUUUGUUAUAUAAUCCAUGUUUUUCCCUUUUGAUUCAGAUUACGCACACAUCACUUGGCGAUAUUAACAUUAAACUGUACCCAGAAAAAUGCUCAAAAACUAUGGAGAAACUCACCACUGGCUGCAGUAAUGGUUAUUAUUGAGAUAAUCUAAUCUUCCUUCUGGAGAAUUAUCAGAGGCUUUAUGAUAUAUAUAUGAUAUAUAUAUACUGGAGAUCCUCGGGGAGACGGCGAUGGUAGGAAGUCUAUUUAGGGUAGGGAAUUCGAGGAUGUAUUCUACAAACAGUAACUUCUAUUGCUGAUUAACAAUAGUAUGUUACAAAUUUAAUUCGGUUUUCUUCUAGGAUCAUAUGAUUAGAAGCUUAUAACAGCGAAGUUCUCUUUUAUUUCCUCUCCGUCUCAGAUUGUUAUCAUUAUCUGUUCUUUCUAGAAUCAGGUUGUUACGAAGAGCUUACAUAUGAAAAAUGGUUAAGGCAUGAUAAACCUUUCACCCUGUCCAUGGAUAAUUAAUGUGCGGUAAAAAACUAAUGCCGCCCAGUUCUUUGUAACCAUUGUAGCAACACCGUGGAUAGAUAAUAAGCAUGUUAUACUCGAUAAAGUUAUGAAGAAAAUGGACGAGGUGCAGGUAUUUUUAUU